CCUCUCGUAGUUUAGUGCUAGAACAUUGGUGCGUAAAGCCAAAGGUCCCGGGUUCGAUUCCCGGCGGGGGUG
rnacentral:tRNA from 1 species